GCUCAGUGUCCCCACGCGUGACAGGCCGGGCGCGCGGGCGGCCGCAGAGGGGCUGGGCCUUACGUGUCAACUCGGCACUUUCGGUUCUGCGGGGUCGGCCUGAGGCGGACCCCACCCCAUCCCACCCCAGUCCCCAGGCCAGCCCGGAUCCGGGAGGUGGCCGCUGAGGUUUUCCAGCGGGACUGUGGGCCCCUUCCCCACCCCCAGCUGGGCCCGCAGGAUUUUUUACCUCCCUUUUGGCUGAGAGGGGGUGGGUGGGCGUAGGGUGUGGCCCAGGUGAAAGACACAGCAAGUUUUAAAAAGAAAUUCAUACUCUGAACACCAGACAGGAGAUCCUAGAGGAGAUUUAGAAUCACUUUUUCUGUGCAAAGAGCUUGAGAGAAGAGCAAGUGUGGGCGCUGUGAUGAUGAAGAUGAAAUGGCGAAGGCAGCGUCCCCCGGCCUCCGGGAAAGUCGCUCCCUGAGGCCGGGGCGGUGGGCGCACCCCGGCCUGAGAGGCCUCUCGCCCCGCUCCUCGCCUGUGAAGCCCACGCUCCCGGAGUCCCCCAAACACGCCCCCAAACCCACAUUUCCCCAGUUCUUCCCCGUCCCAGGCCCCCGCGCCGGGCGGCCGGGGUUGCGAUGGGGGCACGUUGCCGAGCGGGGGUGAGGGCAGAGGGGACCCACGCGGGCGGCCGUGGUGCGGGGCCCGGGCUGCGCGCCGCCGUGGCCCUCCCCAGGCGCCGGCGAGCCGGGCGGGCUUUCGAAAUGCGCGGGGCUGCGGAUCAUUGGAGCCCAGGGUAGGGGUGGGAGCGGGCUGCAGCGCCGGAGGGUCGGCGAACUCGGGAAGGCUCUCCCCUUAGCUCCGAUAUCCCCACGGCCGGGGAGGCGGCCGGUUACUCAGGUGGAGAGUCCGUUUGCGGAGAGGAGUGGGAGCUUUCGCUGCUUUCUCAGCGCAGAGGAGAGGAGGAGGGAGGAAAGUUUCUGAGAAACCGCCCAGCCCGGCUGCGCGGCGGAGGCGCGGCCGCCCGGGCGCGGGAACUGCGCGCGACGACGGCGACAGUGCGGGGGGCUGCACGUUACAGAUGAGGGAGCAACACUUGAUGGCCUUCUCGUCCCGAGGCACCAGCCAGCCCGACCCCGCAACUGCCGCGGCGGGCGGGCGCGGAACUGCGGGGAAGCCGAAGAGUCCAACCUGCUCAAAAAAAAAAAAAAA
rnacentral:lncRNA from 1 species